rnacentral:rRNA from 1 species
UACGGGGGGGGCAAGCGUUGUUCGGAAUUACUGGGCGUAAAGGGCUCGUAGGCGGCCAACUAAGUCAGACGUGAAAUCCCUCGGCUUAACCGGGGAACUGCGUCUGAUACUGGAUGGCUUGAAUCCGGGAGAGGGAUGCGGAAUUCCAGGUGUAGCGGUGAAAUGCGUAGAUAUCAAGUGGAACACCAGUGGCGAAGGCGAGUCCCUGGACAAAACCUGACACUGAGGCACGAAAGCUAGGGGAGCAAACAGG